GACAGAGGGUGCAAACGUUGUUCGGAAUUACUGGGCGUAAAGCGUGUGUAGGCGGUGGAUAAAGUCGGAUGUGAAAGCCCUAGGCUCAACCUAGGAAGUGCACCCGAUACUGAUUCGCUAGAGUCCCGGAGAGGUUGGUGGAAUUCCUGGUGUAGCGGUGGAAUGCGCAGAUAUCAGGAGGAACACCGGUGGCGAAGGCGGGUCUCUGGGCAGUAACUGACGCUGGAGGAGCGAAAGCGUGGGGAGCGAACAGG
rnacentral:rRNA from 1 species